rnacentral:rRNA from 1 species
UACGUAGGGUGCGAGCGUUGUCCGGAAUUAUUGGGCGUAAAGAGCUCGUAGGCGGUGUGUCACGUCGGCCGUGAAAACCUGCAGCUUAACUGUGGGCGUGCGGUCGAUACGGGCAUCACUGGAGUUCGGCAGGGGAGACUGGAAUUCCUGGUGUAGCGGUGAAAUGCGCAGAUAUCAGGAGGAACACCGGUGGCGAAGGCGGGUCUCUGGGCCUUUACCCUGACGCUGAGGAGCGAAAGCGUGGGUAGCGAACAGGAUAGAUACCCUGUAGUCA